CAAAGAAAUGGAAACUAAAGGGACAUCCCUCAAUUUGGGAAUGGCUGAACAAAUUGUGGCAGAUGAUGGUGACAGAAUACUAUUGUGCUCUGACAUAAACAGGAGGAUGAUCUCACAAAGAGUUGGAAAGACCUACAUUAAUUGAUGCACUGAAAUGAACAGAACCAGGAAAACAUUAUAAACAGUAACAGCAAUAGUGUGGAAUGAUCAAAUUUGAUAGACUUAGCUGCUCUCAGUGAUACAAUGAUUCAGACAGCAUUUUAGAUAGGUAGCCACAAACACAGAAAAGAUGUAGGAUGACAGGGGAUGGAAGAAAUAAGUCAGGGGGUUUUGAGGAUAAGCCUGAAAUAUGUUUCUUUGCAGGCAGUAGGGAAGGAGUCAGCAGACAGAGACUGAGAAUAAGUCAGAGUGUGGGGACAGAUUCCAGUUCCAUUGCCAUGUGGACCAUUUCAACUAUUUCAGGUCCUGAGCUCUGUGGCUCUCAGGCUCAGGAAGCUUGUUAUGAAACGCAGGGAAUGAAAUUACAUAAGUCUCAAAUGAAAGCAAAAGAAGUCUGCAUACCAAAUGUAACAAAGGUAGUAAAAUGGAAAGACAAGGGCCAAACACUCAGCCAAUAA
rnacentral:lncRNA from 1 species